rnacentral:rRNA from 1 species
GACGAACGCUGGCGGCGUGCUUAACACAUGCAAGUCGAACGGAAAGGCCCUGCUUUUGUGGGGUGCUCGAGUGGCGAACGGGUGAGUAACACGUGAGUAACCUGCCCUUGACUUUGGGAUAACUUCAGGAAACUGGGGCUAAUACCGGAUAGGUGCUCCUGCUGCAUGGUGGGGGUUGGAAAGUUUCGGCGGUUGGGGAUGGACUCGCGGCUUAUCAGCUUGUUGGUGGGGUAGUGGCUUACCAAGUCUUUGACGGGUAGCCGGCCUGAGAGGGUGACCGGCCACAUUGGGACUGAGAUACGGCCCAGACUCCUACGGGAGGCAGCAGUGGGGAAUAUUGCACAAUGGGCGGAAGCCUGAUGCAGCAACGCCGCGUGCGGGAUGACGGCCUUCGGGUUGUAAACCGCUUUCGCCUGUGACGAAGCGUGAGUGACGGUAAUGGGUAAAGAAGCACCGGCUAACUACGUG